rnacentral:misc_RNA from 1 species
GAUGAAGAACGCAGCGAAAUGCGACAAGUAAUGUGAAUUGCAGAAUUCAGUGAAUCAUCGAGUCUUUGAACGCACAUUGCGCCCCCUGGUAUUCCGGGGGGCAUGCCUGUCCGAGCGUCAUUGCUGCCCUCAAGCACGGCUUGUGUGUUGGGCCGUCGUCCCCCUCCUAGGGGACGGGCCCGAAAGGCAGCGGCGGCACCGCGUCCGGUCCUCGAGCGUAUGGGGCUUCGUCACCCGCUCCGUAGGCCCGGCCGGCGCUUGCCGACGACCAUCAAUCUCUUUCUCCAGGUUGACCUCGGAUCAGGUAGGGAUACCCGCUGAACUUAAGCAUAUCAAUAAGCGGAGGA